AAAGGAAUAGACGGGGGCCCGCACAAGCGGUGGAGCAUGUGGUUUAAUUCGACGCAACGCGAAGAACCUUACCAGCUUUUGACAUGUGCAUUUUGGAAUAGAGAGAUUUAUUUCUUCACUUCGGGUGGGUGCAACACAGGUGCUGCAUGGCUGUCGUCAGCUCGUGUCGUGAGAUGUUGGGUUAAGUCCCGUAACGAGCGCAACCCUUAUCGUCAGUUGCCAUCAUUUGGUUGGGCACUCUGACGAAACUGCCGGUGACAAGCCGGAGGAAGGAGGGGAUGAUGUCAAGUCCUCAUGGCCCUUACAGGCUGGGCUACACACGUGCUACAAUGGCGGCUACAACGGGUAGCGAUCCCGCGAGGGUGAGCGAAUCCUAUCAAAAGCCGUCUCAGUUCGGAUUGCACUCUGCAACUCGGGUGCAUGAAGUUGGAAUCGCUAGUAAUCGCGUAUCAGCGUGACGCGGUGAAUACGUUCCCGGGCCUUGUACACACCGCCCGU
rnacentral:rRNA from 1 species